CUCAGUUUGGCGCCACUUUUUCACGGUUAUACAAGCUUUUUUGGAAGUUUUCUAUUCUGCAACAUUUAGUGUCCAACAUGUGGCUCGUGGGCUGGAUUAUGCUGGCGGAUCGAUAAGAGAGAACGAAUCACAAUCGGAGAGGUCACAAAAGGAGGAAGAGAGCAAGCAGACGCAGAUAUGGGCAGGAUGCUGGCCAAUUGGUUGGAUCUUUAUAAGACCGCCUGUGUUCCCAUAAGGAAAAGAACUAGCUACAGCUGAGGUUAAGCGGGUGAAGCAAAUCGGUCUAUGCUAGCCAGAGGCGUUAAGAAUUCAGCAGCUACUAGGAGCGGAUAAAUAAUAAG